rnacentral:rRNA from 1 species
GAACGCUGGCGGCAGGCCUAACACAUGCAAGUCGAGCGGUAGAGAGGUGCUUGCAUCUCUUGAGAGGCGGCGGACGGGUGAGUAAUGCCUAGGAAUCCGCCUAGUGGUGGGGGAUAACGUUCGGAAACGGACGCUAAUACCGCAUACGUCCCUACGGGAGAAAGCGGGGGAUCUUCGGACCUCGCGCCAUUAGAUGAGCCUAGGUCGGAUUAGCUAGUUGGUGAGGUAAUGGCUCACCAAGGCGACGAUCCGUAACUGGUCUGAGAGGAUGAUCAGUCACACUGGAACUGAGACACGGUCCAGACUCCUACGGGAGGCAGCAGUGGGGAAUAUUGGACAAUGGGCGAAAGCCUGAUCCAGCCAUGCCGCGUGUGUGAAGAAGGUCUUCGGAUUGUAAAGCACUUUAAGUUGGGAGGAAGGGUAGUAACCUAAUACGUUGCUACUUUGACGUUACCGACAGAAUAAGCACCGGCUAACUUCGUG